UGAAAUGUCUACAGUGGUGGUUUUGGGGUACGAUAUUAUUGUUUUGGCUCGGAAGUAAGAAAACCAUUGCUGUUUCUACGGAACUCUUCAUUCCUUUUCCUCAAACCGAAUUUCAACUUGCAGGUGCUCAUAUGUGGAACCUACCUGUCGACAUCUGAAAGCUUUUCUUCCCGAGCAAAUUCGUCCUACUUUUUUCGUUCCAAAGCUGCUUGUGGUAAUUUUGGGCAGCUGCCAUUAAAAAACUUGCCCGAAGCUUACUCUCGUUAGCUUCAACGGAGACACCUUCAGUGAGCUGUUCUGUUCCAGGUAGCUACAAGAAAAUCGGACACACGGCUUGCGCAGGGGGCAGGUGGUCUUCUUCCUCUCGCUGUGCUUCCAAUAAGCUCAUUUAAUUGGCUUUGUGCUAUAGAAAUUGGCAGAGAGGUGCGCUUUGUUUAGCAGAUCCCCAUUUUUUUUAUUGGAGCGUGUUUUUCAAAAUGCUCAGCGUGUUUACUUCAUCCGAGACAACGUACCCAAUGAUAUGUUCUUCAAUGAAGAAGUAGCGCUCGGUGCCUUAGCAGAUGCCGGGGAUCCAGGGGACUUCGUUCAGGGCAGUCAAAAUUUCGAUACGUCGCAGCGGGGCAUACAUAACUACUAACUAGAACGAAAAUCGGCGGCAAUACUCUAUUGUUACGAUACCACUUCAUUUAAAUUUAUGAAUGAUAAACCCACUGUCUAUCUAUUCUUUACAUAUUAUUGUUAUUUGCAUA